rnacentral:rRNA from 1 species
UAGUCAUAUGCUUGUCUUAAAGAUUAAGCCAUGCAUGUCUAAGUAUAAGCAUUUAUACGGCGAAACUGCGAAUGGCUCAUUAAAUCAGUUAUAGUUCAUUUGAUAAUACCUACACUACUUGGAUAACCGUAGUAAUUCUAGAGCUAAUACAUGCGAAAAACCCCGACUUUUCGGAAGGGGUGCAUUUGUUAGAUACAAAACCAAUGCGGCGGGGCAACUCGUCGGAACCUUGGUGAUUCAUGACAACUUUGCGAAUCGCAUGGCCUUUGAGCCGGCGAUGCUUCAUUCAAAUUUCUGCCCUAUCAACUUUCGAUGGUAGUGUAGUGGACUACCAUGGUGACAACGGGUGACGGAGAAUUAGGGUUCGGUUCCGGAGAGGGAGCCUGAGAAAUGGCUACCACUUCCAAGGAAGGCAGCAGGCGCGCAAAUUACCCAAUCCCGAUACGGGGAGGUAGUGACAAUAAAUAACAAUACGGGACCUGAUAAAGGUCUCGUAAUUGGAAUGAGUACAAUUCAAAAACCUUAACGAGGAACAAUUG